UACGGGGGGGGCAAGCGUUGUUCGGAAUUACUGGGCGUAAAGGGCCAGUAGGCGGCCAACUAAGUCAGACGUGAAAUCCCCAGGCUUAACCUGGGAACUGCGUCUGAUACUGGAUGGCUUGAAUUCGGGAGAGGGAUGCAGAAUUCCAGGUGUAGCGGUGAAAUGCGUAGAUAUCUGGAGGAAUACCGGUGGCGAAGGCGGCAUCCUGGACCGACAUUGACGCUGAUGAGCGAAAGCUAGGGGAGCAAACGGG
rnacentral:rRNA from 1 species